rnacentral:rRNA from 1 species
UGCAAGUCGAACGGCAGCACGGAGCUUGCUCUAGUGGCGAGUGGCGAACGGGUGAGUAAUAUAUCGGAACGUACCCAGGAGUGGGGGAUAACGUAGCGAAAGUUACGCUAAUACCGCAUACGUCCUAAGGGAGAAAGUGGGGGAUCGCAAGACCUCAUGCUCAUGGAGCGGCCGAUAUCUGAUUAGCUAGUUGGUAGGGUAAAAGCCUACCAAGGCAACGAUCAGUAGCUGGUCUGAGAGGACGACCAGCCACACUGGAACUGAGACACGGUCCAGACUCCUACGGGAGGCAGCAGUGGGGAAUUUUGGACAAUGGGCGCAAGCCUGAUCCAGCCAUACCGCGUGGGUGAAGAAGGCCUUCGGGUUGUAAAGCCCUUUUGUUGGGAAAGAAAUCCAGCCGGCUAAUACCUGGUUGGGAUGACGGUACCCAAAGAAUAAGCACCGGCUAACUUCGUGCCAGCAGCCGCGGUAAUACGAAGGGUGCAAGCGUUACUCGGAAUUACUGGGCGUAAAGCGUGCGUAGGUGGUUGUUUAAGUCUGUUGUGAAAGCCCUGGGCUCAACCUGGGAACUGCAGUGGAAACUGGACGACUAGAGUGUGGUAGAGGGUAGCGGAAUUCCUGGUGUAGCAGUGAAAUGCGUAGAGAUCAGGAGGAACAUCCAUGGCGAAGGCAGCUACCUGGACCAACACUGACACUGAGGCACGAAAGCGUGGGGAGCAAACAGGAUUAGAUACCCUGGUAGUCCACGCCCUAAACGAUGCGAACUGGAUGUUGGGUGCAAUUUGGCACGCAGUAUCGAAGCUAACG